rnacentral:lncRNA from 1 species
GGACGGCAAGAAGCGCAAGCGCAGCCGCAAGGAGAGCUACUCGGUGUACGUGUACAAGGUGCUGAAGCAAGUGCACCCGGACACGGGCAUCUCUUCUAAGGCCAUGGGCAUCAUGAACUCGUUCGUGAACGACAUCUUCGAGCGCAUCGCGGGCGAGGCGUCGCGUCUAGCGCAUUACAACAAGCGCUCGACCAUCACGUCCCGGGAGAUCCAGACGGCCGUGCGCCUGCUGCUGCCCGGGGAGCUGGCCAAGCACGCUGUGUCCGAGGGCACCAAGGCGGUCACCAAGUACACCAGCUCCAAGGAUGUCUGGCAAGUGUAUUGUCCUGGCCUGAUGUUAAUUCAGCAAAUCUUCAUUUCCCCCUUUUCUGUUUAACGGUACUUUGUAAUAUAAUGUUGAAUAAAGACAAUCGAUGUUGAAUUAC